UGGUGAGAAGUGAUGACCAUUUUUUUCCCCGGCAGACCGACUAUGUUGAUUUGCCUUUGAAUCUUAAAGCCAUUUGUGUCUGACUCUCCA